GACGAACGCUGGCGGCGUGCUUAACACAUGCAAGUCGAACGGAAAGGCCCUGCUUGCAGGGUACUCGAGUGGCGAACGGGUGAGUAACACGUGGGUGAUCUGCCCUGCACUUCGGGAUAAGCCUGGGAAACUGGGUCUAAUACCGGAUAGGAGCCAUUUUUAGUGUGAUGGUUGGUAAGUUUUUUCGGUGUAGGAUGAGCUCGCGGCCUAUUUGCCUGUUGGUGGGGUAUUGGCCUACCAAGGCGGCGACGGGUAGCCGGCCUUAGGGGGUGGACGGCCACAUUGGGGCUGAGCUACGGCCCAGACUCCUACGGGAGGCAGCGGUGGGGAAUAUUGCACAAUGGGCGCAAGGCUGAUGCAGCGACGCCGCGUGGUGGAUGAAGGGCUUCGGGUUGGAAAAUCCUUUCGCUAGGGACGGAGCUGUUUGUGACGGUACCUAGGUAAGAAGCACCGGCUAACUACGUG
rnacentral:rRNA from 1 species